UCCCAGACUCCUACGGGAGGCAGCAGUGGGGGAUAUUGCACAAUGGGGGAAACCCUGAUGCAGCGACGCCGCGUGGGCGAAGAAGUAUUUCGGUAUGUAAAGACCUAUCAGCAGGGAAGAAGAAAUGACGGUACCUGAGUAAGAAGCACCGGCUAAAUACGUGCCAGCAGCCGCGGUAAUACGUAUGGUGCAAGCGUUAUCCGGAUUUACUGGGCGUAAAGAGAGCGUAGGCGGCACUACAAGUCUCAUGUGAAAUACCCGGGCUUAACUUGGGGGUUGCAUGGGAAACUGUAGAGCUUGAGUACAGGAGAGGCAAGCGGAAUUCCUAGUGUAGCGGUGAAAUGCAUAGAUAUUAGGAGGAACACCAGUGGCGAAGGCGGCUUGCUGGACUGAAACUGACGCUGAGGCUCGAAAGCGUGGGGAGCAAACAGGAUUAGAUACCCUUGUAC
rnacentral:rRNA from 1 species